rnacentral:rRNA from 1 species
GGAGCAUGUGGUUUAAUUCGACGCAACGCGAAGAACCUUACCAGCCCUUGACAUGUGCUGGAAUGCCCGCAGAGACGUGGGCAGCCGCAAGGCCAGUACACAGGUGUUGCAUGGCUGUCGUCAGCUCGUGUCGUGAGAUGUUGGGUUAAGUCCCGCAACGAGCGCAACCCUCGCCAUUAGUUGCCAUCAUUAAGUUGGGCACUCUAGUGGGACUGCCGGUGAUAAGCCGGAGGAAGGUGAGGAUGACGUCAAGUCAUCAUGGCCCUUACGGGCUGGGCUACACACGUGCUACAAUGGCGGUGACAGUGGGCAGCGAGGCAGUAACGCCAAGCUAAUCUCAAAAAGCCGUCUCAGUUCGGAUUGAGGUCUGCAACUCGACCUCAUGAAGUCGGAAUCGCUAGUAAUCGCGCAUCAGCACGGCGCGGUGAGUACGUUCCCGGGCCUU